rnacentral:rRNA from 1 species
GGGCCUGCACAAGCGGUGGAGCAUGUGGUUUAAUUCGAUGCAACGCGAAGAACCUUACCAGGAUUUGACAUACUACAAAUCUUUUUGAGAAAAAAGAGCGCCUUCGGGAAUGUAGAUACAGGUGGUGCAUGGCUGUCGUCAGCUCGUGUCGUGAGAUGUUGGGUUAAGUCCCGCAACGAGCGCAACCCACGUCUUUAGUUGCCAGCAUUUAGUUGGGCACUCUAGAGAGACCGCCGGUGACAAACCGGAGGAAGGUGUGGAUGACGUCAAGUCAUCAUGCCCCUUACGUCCUGGGCUACACACGUACUACAAUGCUACGGACAAAGAGCAGCUAACUCGCGAGAGUACGCAAAUCUCAUAAACCGUGGCUCAGUUCAGAUCGUAGGCUGCAACUCGCCUACGUGAAGGAGGAAUCGCUAGUAAUCGCAGGUC